AAACUACCCAACAGACCGUGAUAACCUCGGGAAACUGAGGCUAAUAACGGAUAGUGCUCCCGAGCUGGAAUGCUGGGAGCGCGAAAGCUCCGGCGCUGUUGGAUGUGGCUGCGGCCGAUUAGGUAGACGGUGGGGUAACGGCCCACCGUGCCGAUAAUCGGUACGGGUUGUGAGAGCAAGAGCCCGGAGACGGACUCUGAGACAAGAGUCCGGGCCCUACGGGGCGCAGCAGGCGCGAAACCUUUACACUGUACGCAAGUACGAUAGGGGGACACNCGAGUGCGAGGGCAUAGAGCCCUCGCUUUUGUACACCGUAAGGUGGUGCACGAAUAAGAGCUGGGCAAGACCGGUGCCAGCCGCCGCGGUAACACCGGCAGCCCAAGUGAUGGCCGCUAUUAUUGGGCCUAAAGCGUCCGUAGCUGGCCGUUCAGGUCCGUCGGGAAAUCCACUGGCUUAACCAGUGGGCGUCCGGCGGAAACCGUUCGGCUUGGAACAGGGAGACCAGAGGGGUACGUCCGGGGUAGGAGUGAAAUCCCGUAAUCCUGGACGGACCAUCGGUGGCGAAAGCGCCUCUGGAGAACUGAUUCGACAGUGAGGGACGAAAGCUGGGGUCUCGAACCGGAUUAGAUACCCGGGUAGUCCCAGCCGUAAACGAUGCUCGCUAGGUGGUGUCGCAGGCUACGAGCCUGCGAUGUGUCGU
rnacentral:rRNA from 1 species